UACGUAGGGCGCAAGCGUUGUCCGGAAUUAUUGGGCGUAAAGAGCUCGUAGGCGGUCUGUUACGUCCGCUGUGAAAACCCAGGGCUUAACCCUGGGCUUGCAGUGGAUACGGGCAGACUAGAGGCAGGUAGGGGAGAAUGGAAUUCCCGGUGUAGCGGUGAAAUGCGCAGAUAUCGGGAGGAACGACCGGUGGCGAAGGCGGUCUCUGGGCCUGACCUGGACGCUGAGGAGCGAAAGCGUGGGGAGCGAACAGG
rnacentral:rRNA from 1 species